GAUGAACGCUGGCGGCGUGCCUAACACAUGCAAGUCGAGCGAACAGACGAGGCGCUUGCGGGGCUGACGUUAGCGGAGGGCGGGUGAAUAACACGUGUAUAACCUCCCUAAAUGGCGGGGAUCACUUCGGGACACCGGCUCUAAUACCGGAGGAGAUAUUGAUCCGCAGGGGGGGUUAGAAAAAGACGGUUGUUCUGUCACGUAUAGCGGGAUCCGGGCCGUAUUAGCUGGUUGGGGGGGUAAAGGCUUACCAAGGCUAGGAGGCGUAGGCGACGGGAGAGGGUGAUCGGCCACCUGGGAAGUGAGACACGGUCCAGGCUCCUAAGGGAGGCAGCAGUAGGGAAUCUUCGGCAGUGGGGGAAAGCAUGGCGGAGCGGGGGCGCGUGUGUGAUGAAGGUCUUCGGAGCGGAAAGCUCGGUUAUUGGGGAAGAACAGCUGUGGAAGGAGCUAUGGCGUUAUUGACGGUAACUGGUCAAGAAGCAACGGCUAACUACGUG
rnacentral:rRNA from 1 species